rnacentral:rRNA from 1 species
UCCAGCAGCCAUAUCACUCUGCAACUCACAACUGGCAACCCACUGAAGCUAAGCAGGUAUGAGCCUGGUCAGUACCUGACUUGGAGACCUCCCGGGAAAAACUUAGGUUGCUGCUGGAA